rnacentral:sRNA from 1 species
AGAAGUGAGAGCAAUGUGAUGAGGUUUCAUCACCCCUGGGUCCAGGGUUGACUCAGGUGAUCUGGCUGGCUGAUGGGGUCCCCUUCUUUGUUACAGGCACCAUGUGUAGCCCUCUUGAAGUUACACAUUGCUCAGAGAGGAACACCAGAGAGAGGUAGGCCUUUGUAUAGACAAGGCAACACAAAUCCUGUGCCUCCCCAGAGCUCUCAAACAAGCUCAGAUCCAUCUGAGGUUUGUAUUAAUUAGGGCAUGUAUAUUUACAAAGUUGCUCUUAAUAUUCUUGU